GUCGAACGGGACUCUUCGGAGUUCAGUGGCGGACGGGUGAGUAACGCGUGAGAAUCUGCCUAGAGGAUGGGGACAACCACGGGAAACUGUGGCUAAUACCCAAUGAGCGGAGACGUUAAAGAUUUAUCGCCUCUAGAGGAGCUCGCGUCUGAUUAGCUAGUUGGUGGGGUAAAAGCCUACCAAGGCGACGAUCAGUAGCUGGUCUGAGAGGACAACCAGCCACACUGGGACUGAGACACGGCCCAGACUCCUACGGGAGGCAGCAGUGGGGAAUUUUCCGCAAUGGGCGAGAGCCUGACGGAGCAAUACCGCGUGAGGGAGGAAGGCUCUUGGGUCGUAAACCUCUUUUCUCAGGGAAGAAGAAAGUGACGGUACCUGAGGAAUCAGCCUCGGCUAACUCCGUGCCAGCAGCCGCGGUAAUACGGAGGAGGCAAGCGUUAUCCGGAAUUAUUGGGCGUAAAGCGUCCGUAGGUGGCUCUUCAAGUCUGCUGUCAAAGAGUGGGGCUUAACUCCAGAAAGGCAGUGGAAACUGAAAGGCUAGAGAGCCGUAGGGGUAGAGGGGAUUCCCGGUGUAGCGGUGAAAUGCGUAGAGAUCGGGAAGAACAUCGGUGGCGAAAGCGCUCUACCGGACGGUAUCUGACACUGAGGGACGAAAGCUAGGGGAGCGAAUGGGAUUAGAUACCCCAGUAGUCCUAGCCGUA
rnacentral:rRNA from 1 species